rnacentral:lncRNA from 1 species
GGAUUAAACUACUGAGUUUAGGUCUUCAUUUUUAAAUCUCAGAUAUAGUUUCAAAAAGGAAAUUCAAUAUAAAGAUAUCUGACUAACUUAUACUUUACUGUCCAAAAUGUUUAGUAAAGAGACAUUUGAUGUUUAAGGAAUUCUUGUGAUCCUUUCUUUAAAACAAGCUUUGGUUAACUAUAUUUCUUUGAGGUAGAAGGUACUAUGUUGCCAAACAAAAUCAGAAUUCAAAUGCUGGCUUUGUUCAAGUAGUCUAUAAAGCUGUAAUACUGCGUUCUGUUCCUACAAUUAUUUUUCUUUAAAAGAUACCUGCCCUUAUGACUAAGUGGCUGUAACAUCCUAUUAGGUCUAAUAAAAUAUUAACUAGCAAAAUAAUUCUCUGUAAUUAAAUGUUGCAAUAUAUUUUAUCCCUAGAUAAAUGAGUACAUCCAGAAAACAUGCUUUAGCUUUUUAAAAACCAUUUUUAAUUUGAAGUGAGGUAUUUUGUUAAUCAAUUUACUUACAUUUGAGGGUGUAAUUUGUCUUUAUUCUAAUAAACCUGUGUUUUGUUGUGUGCUUUUACUUUGGAAAUCUUUAUAUCACUUAAGAAAUCAGAGUAUUUUUGAGCUGCCUGAUUUAAAGAUAUUUACUUUGUUUUGUUGCAUACACAACACAGAAACUAGGAUUCCAGAUACGCAGCCACGAGCUAAGUCCCUGUAGUAUGCAACUUUCUCUAAUGACCUAUGUAGACACUAAGUUAAAGUUACUUUCAUUGCCUAAACUUGGAAUAUCUUUUGAUUUCUGAGGUAUAAUGCAAGAAAUUAAUAUGUCAAAAUAUUCACUAAUUCACAUUACCUUGUCUAGAAUCUAUUCUAGACAAUGAGCUAAGUCCUGAUGGGGCAAGUACUGGCCACUUAAAAGGAAACACAAAGUAAAUGAGACCCUUUUUUUCACAUGUGCAUAACCAUUCUACUCCUCAGAAUUUAUAAUUUACAAAUGUUAUGAUUUAUUAGAUGCUAUUCUAGAUUUCAGGUUAAUUAGUACUGAUGUUUUCUGUCUCCAGUCGAGUUGAAUUUGGAGCCCAGACAGUGGUAGUCUUUUGAGGGAAAAGAGAGAAGAAAUGAUAGACAACAGAUUCUUAUUCUCUUAAAAUUACUAAGAACUCUGCUCCAUAUGGCUCGAUAUGGGUAUGAAGAUGUCAUCAUUGUUAUCAACCACUUAGAUCCAUACUUUUGCUGCUGACCAAAAUCAAAGGAGAUCAUUUAUUUUGGCAAAAAGGAAGAAGGGUUUAUACAAAACCAGAUCCCAGGAAAUGGAGAGGACUCAUCACCUAACUCACCAUCUCAACAUAUAGAGCUCUUUGCUUCUUUCUCUGCUUCCUGGCCAUCAUGAUGUGAGCAGCUUCACCUUCACUAUGCCUCUCUGCCCUGCCAUUCUGCCAUAGACCCAGCUAACCAAGGACUACAAAUAUGAACCAAAAUAAAUCUUUCAUCAUUUAAGUCAUGGAUGUUAAUUAAUCCUUGACCUGGAGACCAGUCAGUGCCUUUGCAUAACCUCAGAUAAUAAUCGAACCCUUCUUGCAGAGAUAUGUAUUGAAUUGACUCUUCUGGAAACCUCCAUAACUUGCACUUCCCUGACCCCAGAGGAAUUUGGAUGAAUCAUGGUGCUUUCUGUCCUAUUUGAUAGUAUCAAUUUAUGCAACUGCUGUUAACUCUGAACCAUCUUAUGUUAACAUGGAACCUCAAGCUGCACAGGAGAUACAUAUCUAUCCUUGUCAUAGCCCUCAGGCUGCAGUGUACAGGUGGUUUUGUCAUCAAACCCCAGGCAAGUUUGAAAGAAACUAAAUCUUCUCUGUGUCAUUGUUAUUCUACAGACCUCAAGCCAUACCCAUGUCUUCUCCAUUCCUGUGAUUACCAUGAGAAAGCCCUGCUAAGUACAGCAGACCUAUGAAUGCUUUCAGUUAAAUGAGUGAAGUGUCAUAAUAAAUACUUUUUUGAGUAUGGCUAUUGGUGCAUACAGAAUAUUGUACUUGUAUUUCAGCAUUUGUGUAUUUCACAACAUCUUGUAGCAUUUUGUCUGUUACAAACAAUUUCCAACAUUGAAUGACAGUGCUGGAAUUCUGUCCAAUAUGUUUCACCCCUGCCAAGAUCCUCACUACAUUUUUGGACCUGGUUCUAACAUUGACUCAUUCCAUUUUGAUUGCAUGAGCAUUUUGUACCAUUUUGACUAGUCAAAUAUACAGUCAUAUAGUUGUUUUCUUUGUCAUCUGAAUCAAGGAGGUCUACAUUAUCUGUGUCUGGACACGUCCAUUUUUGCUCCAUUUCACUGUCACAGGAACUUUGGCUCAGAUGGCCAAUGUCAAAGUCAUUACGGUCUUCAUCAUCCAUGCAUGAAUAAUCUGAUGAUUCACUUCAGACCUUCUCCAAAACUUGCAAAUAUGGUUUUUUAAGUGCCAUUGUACCGAAUUGGGCUACUUCUACCAAAAUAAACAAACAAACAAACAAACAAACAAAUAAAUAAAUAUUUUUAAAACAAAUCCUAAAUGCACAGAAAUUUAGCAAUUAAUAUUUCAUUGGUAAGACUCAGCUGCUACUGCUUUGGAGCUCCUG